rnacentral:tRNA from 1 species
GGGAGAGGUUACGGAGCUGGUGCCCGUCCCGGACUUCAAAUCCGCUGUUUCCUGGCGUGAGCCAGGAAAGGUGAGUUCGAUUCUCAUGCUCUCCC